rnacentral:rRNA from 1 species
UCUUCGGAGAGUUUGAUCCUGGCUCAGGAUGAACGCUGGCGGCGUGCCUAAUACAUGCAAGUCGAGCGAAUUGAUUAGAAGCUUGCUUCUAUGACGUUAGCGGCGGACGG